AUUGAACGCUGGCGGCAUGCCUUACACAUGCAAGUCGAACGGCAGCACGGGUGCUUGCACCUGGUGGCGAGUGGCGAACGGGUGAGUAAUACAUCGGAACGUACCUUAUCGUGGGGGAUAACGCAGCGAAAGCUGUGCUAAUACCGCAUACGCCCUGAGGGGGAAAGCGGGGGAUCGCAAGACCUCGCGCGAUUAGAGCGGCCGAUGCCUGAUUAGCUAGUUGGUGGGGUAAAAGCCCACCAAGGCGACGAUCAGUAGCUGGUCUGAGAGGACGAUCCGCCACACUGGGACUGAGACACGGCCCAGACUCCUACGGGAGGCAGCAGUGGGGAAGUUUGGCCAAUGGGGGCAACCCUGAUCCAGCAAUGCCGCGUGAGUGAAGAAGGCCUUCGGGUUGUAAAGCUCUUUUGUCAGGGAAGAAACACCGGCUCUAACACAGUCCGGGAAUGACGGUACCUGAAGAAUAAGCACCGGCUAACUACGUGCCAGCCGCCGCCGUAA
rnacentral:rRNA from 1 species